UAAUGUCAACGUGAUGGAUUUUUGCUUCGAAUAUAAAUAAGAACGACAUGCAAUUAGCUAGUCUAAUGAUACUUCUCUUUUUAAUGUUGAAAAAUAUCCCCAGUUCAAAUCUCCCUUCGCUCAUUGACCAAAAAGUAUGAAUGACAUGCAAUCAUUUAUGACUUCUAGCCUAAUAAUUUUACACUCCUUAAAAAGCUUUUUGC
rnacentral:lncRNA from 1 species